rnacentral:rRNA from 1 species
UACGUAGGUGGCGAGCGUUGUCCGGAUUCACUGGGCGUAAAGGGUGCGUAGGUGGUUGGGUAAGUCUGAUGUGAAAUCUCCGGGCUCAACCCGGAAAUGGCAUUGGAUACUAUUCGGCUAGAGGUUUGGAGGGGGGACUGGAAUUCUCGGUGUAGCAGUGAAAUGCGUAGAUAUCGAGAGGAACACCAGUGGCGAAGGCGAGUCCCUGGACAACACCUGACACUGAGGCACGAAAGCUAGGGGAGCAAACAGG